CCCACCUCUCCCGGUGCUCCGCCGCCAGCCUUCGCCAGCGGGUGUUGAGUCGUCUGCGGGUCAGCACAGCUGCGAACUGGCGGAUCUGGGACGAGGAAGCAGGCACAGUGGAAGGGAGAGGAAGAGACAGAAACAUCGAUCGGCUGCCUCCCGCAUGUGCCUCAACCAGGGCCGGGAUUGAGCCUGCAGCUGAGACAUGUGCCCCUGACCGAAUCCAACCCAGGAUCCUUGAGUCCACAGCCCAACGUUUUAUCCACUAAGCCAAACCAGCUAGGGCUGGUUCACUACUUUUUAGGAGUGUAAUCUCAGACAAGCUACUUAAUCUGUCUGAAAUAAAAAAUGGGGGUAAUAUUAACUACCUCAUAGAGUUAUUGUGAGGAUUAAAUGAGAUGAAAGCAUGCUGAAUACUUACCACACUGCCUAGGACAUUUUAAGGGCUUCAUAUUUUUAACCAUGCAAAAUAAAUGCAUUCUUGUCUUUUGAA